AAGGGCACAAGUUCUCAGCCGCAUGUAAGAGCAAGCAGAACGCUGUUCUUUAAGGGUACUCACUCUGGUUUGUUUCAACACCUUGUUUUACCCUCUAGAUCUCAGACCCCAGGAGGCUUGGCGAGGUCCUACACCCCUGUUCCAGCAGACACCACAAAGGACUGCUGGGGCUGCUCCUCUCCUCCCCUGGAACCGCAUGCUGCAAUCCCAAAACCAGUUCCAGCCCAGCCAGUACCAGGGGCUGGGCGGACCCAUGGGCUACCCACAGAGACCCGAAGAUCGCAUGGACAGGGGCAGACAGGUAGGAAAGCCUUGUCCCGUUCUGUAUGCGGUGUUCUCCUCCUGAGUGAAGCUUCCAUUGUGUGUGGCUGUGGAGAGUGACUGUGGUGGAGGUGGCCAUUCCCGAGCUGCUUUUAGCCCAGGAGCCAGUGACAGCUCACAGGUAACUUGCCAGCUGUGUCCAAUGCUUCCACAUGUAUCCCUGCACGAGGCUCAUGUCAUCACUGUGCACCAGUACUUUUCAUUACAGGUAGAUCAAACACUCAAGCAAGUCACACACCUCUUAUAGCCUGAGAAAACAUGAUGGGAAGGCAGGUAGUUCAGAGUCUUCCUCUUCUGUAAGGAGAUCUACCCACUACACUGUUUUGGGGAUUCUCCAGGUUUCUCCACAGUAUGUUUAAAAUAUAGAUCCUUAUGACUUCAUUAAUUUCCCUCCUCAAAUGCUUAUUGGUUUUCUCUUAGCUGAAAAACUACUUAAAUGUUAGAUACCAGUAGCCAGAGAAAUAAGCAUGUCUGUGAAAGUACAUGUGAAAAUAGCUUUGGUUAAAUGAAAGCAAGUGGAUGUGGUAAGAGAACCUCAUCCAGAAUUCCAGGUGCCCUUGCCAUCAGCUUAUGAAAAUGCCAUAGAAUGAAAAUGUUCCUUGAAAGCAGCAGAUGAUUCUGCUUAUGUGGUUGUGUGUGUUCCCAGUAAAAGCAUGGUCUGCAUCUACUCUUGUAUUACAAAUGUGAGUAUUUACAGUGCUGUGUGCUAGUUUAAAAUAGAUCUCAGGUAUCUGGAGUAAAUGUUAAGUUCUGCUGCUCUUUGUGUAAGUCAGAAUUACCACUUGGUGGUGGGAAGGUUACUGGCCAGUAAUAGGGAAAGAGGAGGAAGAGCACUCAGCUGCUUGGUAAAACUGUUUCCUAAUCCUUUGUAUGGAAACUGAGGCACAAGCUGUUUGAACUUUGCCUUCUGAUGGGACCUGGUUCCCAUCUUAGCUCAAGCCAAGUCACUUUUUAGUCUACACUCCCAGUUUUUCUUCUUCCCAGUCUGCACAUCUCCCUUCUGCACAGAAAUGUGUGUUACAAAGUGCAGCACACACUCAGAUGUGAUUUCUGGGGUGUU
rnacentral:lncRNA from 14 species